ACCUGUUCUUAUUAUAUUUCAUUUUUUCCCUAGGAUACAUUUAAUAUCACUUUUUGAAAAUGACCGUCAUUUUUCUCACCUCUCAUCUUUGGAACGAGAGAUGACUUUUCGCACUGAAAUGGUUAGCCUCUUUCUUCUAAUGAAUUCAUUUGUGAUUUAAAAAUAGAAAGAAUGUAAAGUAGAAAUUUAUUAGGAAUGGAAAUGAAUUUUGUGUCUAAUUUCUGUUUUAUAAAUUUCCAGAAUAUUAGGUCCUUUAGCCACUUCUUGUUUAUUUUCAUCUUUCUAACACCUGUAAAGUUUUGAAGAAUUUGACUCAUAAAUAUUUGCAUAGCAUAUUUUAAAAUAUGAAUAUUUUAAAAGUUAUAUUUCUGUGACAGGAUAUAAACUAUUAUUAAAUAAAGAGGGUAGCUGUGACAGAGUGUGGGCUUUGGUGACAGAUCACAGGACUCAGCAGUAAUGUGCUUCAUUGUUUGAUGGCUAAUCAGUUAUCUUUCUCAUCUCAUCUAUUAAGUAGAAAUAAUAGUUUCCUCAUAGGGUUUUAGUGAAAACAAAGGGAGGAAAUGAACAGAAGCAUGUAUAACAAAAUAAUAUCUUGUUAUCAAUAACUUAUUUAAAUAUAUACAUUGCUUUCCUAAAUACAGUCUUUUGCAUAUUAAAUAUCUUUUAAUUGUUGUGUUGCUUGUCUUUCUGCACUGAAAGGAAAAUACUUCCAUGACCUGAUAUUUUGACAAUCAAAACUAUGAGAAAAUGGCCAAUCAGAGAUGAGCUAAAACAGAUCUUCAAUUGAGGAGCCAUUAGUGUUGUUUGGCCUAUCAAAAAUUAGGUAGUUGAAUUCCAGUGAGUUGGAUCUAAAUGGCUAAAAGCUUCAGAGUAAGUAGAAAGGGAAGAUGACUGCUGGAAAAAAAAAGUACUCCAAAGGAGCAUAACAGACUUAAAAUAUUUCUCAAAGUAUACAGUAAUGUUUUAAUGAAAGAUGUUCAAGAGAUAGCAACUGUUGUUACCCAAACAGGGCCAAGAAUAAUUCAAUAUAUUGGUAAAAGAUGAAAAAGAUGAAAUGAAAAUGGAGACUGAUAAAUGGAGAGACAAAAAGAUCCUUCUAGACCACCAUGGACAGUCCCAGUAUGGAUCAACCAGAACAGAGAGAAAGGCUGAAGGCAUAGUGAGAGAAAAGAAAGGGGAAAAGGGCUGAGGGUGUAGCUCAGCGGUACAGUGCUUGCCUACCAUGUGCAGGACCCUGGGUUUGAUCCCCAGCACCACAGGGGCAUACAAAGGCCUGGUGUGUGUGAGGGUGGGGUGAGGAGGGUGUUGCCGGGUUUUGAGCAAAGCAACUGAAGCAUUGGAUCAGCGAAGGCAGCAAAGGUUUGGCUUGACUCUUAAAAAUGAAUCAUGUUCCGUGGGACAGAUAUUUGAUUGGAAGUACACACAUUGAUUUUAGCUCCCACUAAAUGAAAACUAUUUGUUCUUAUAUUUUAACUUGGCCGUUUGAAAAAAUUCAAACCCCAAAUAACUUAAGCUUAUUUGGGAAACUUGAAUAAUAUUUCCUUUGAUGAAUGAAAACUAUAUUGAUGUUUUUAUUGGAUGCUGCCUAAUAUCCAGGUAUUAUCACACGUCCAAACCUGUCAAGUGUUAAUGUGGAUGUUUUGUUUGUUCUUACAACUUGGUGAAUAUAGUUAGCAAAAAAAAACCUAAUGAUUUACUGGCAAAUUUGAGUGAAAUCAGAUUUUUUAAAUUUAUGUAAUAUUAUUUAAAUAUCAGUGGAUCUUAUAAGUAAUACUUGUUUGGGGUUUUGGUUUUGUAUAAUUUGGAAUAAAAGAUAUUUUGUGUGUAAAAAAAUAAAAUAGUUGGAUGAAGGAAGAAUGAGUCUAAAGUUGAAAUUAUUUUUAUUAUUUUGGGGCCAGAGUGUAUUAUUACAAACAAUGUAGACCUUUAUUUCCUU
rnacentral:lncRNA from 1 species